CCUACGGGUGGCAGCAGUAGGGAAUCUUCCACAAUGUUCUAAAUCCUUAUUUCUCCCCUCCUCUUUUUUGAAGAAGGUCUUCGGAUCGUAAAACCCUGUUGUUAGAGAAGAAAGUGCGUGAGAGUAACUGUUCACGUUUCGACGGUAUCUAACCAGAAAGCCACGGCUAACUACGUGCCAGCAGCCGCGGUAAUACGUAGGUGGCAAGCGUUAUCCGGAUUUAUUGGGCGUAAAGGGCACGCAGGCGGUCUUUUAAGUCUGAUGUGAAAGCCUUCGGCUUAACCGGAGUAGUGCAUUGGAAACUGGGAGACUUGAGUGCAGAAGAGGAGAGUGGAACUCCAUGUGUAGCGGUGAAAUGCGUAGAUAUAUGGAAGAACACCAGUGGCGAAAGCGGCUCUCUGGUCUGUAACUGACGCUGAGGUUCGAAAGCGUGGGUAGCAAACAGGAUUAGAUACCCGAGUAGUC
rnacentral:rRNA from 1 species